rnacentral:lncRNA from 1 species
AAGUUUCCUGUUCUUGUUUGAUUAAAAAAAAGUACACUUCCAUUCAUUGUUUCCAUGUAACUUCCUAUACUUUUUACUAAAAAAGGUUGAAAUCUAGGAUAAAUUAUGAGCUAUCUCUCGGGCAAAGAAACGAUUUCAUUUCAGGAAGACUUAGUUAUUUGGAUAAUUUGCUUAUGUGGAAUAAUCUCAUUGCCAGUCAGUGUUGAAUAAGUGAGGCAUUUUUUGUGUGGCGGAAAGGUGGUUCUUUGGGCCAGAUGAAGUAAG